rnacentral:rRNA from 1 species
AGUGAACGCUGGCGGUAGGCCUAACACAUGUAAGUCGAACGGCAGCACAGUAAGAGCUUGCUCUUACGGGUGGCGAGUGGCGGACGGGUGAGGAAUACAUCGGAAUCUACUUUUUCGUGGGGGAUAACGUAGGGAAACUUACGCUAAUACCGCAUACGACCUACGGGUGAAAGCAGGGGAUCUUCGGACCUUGCGCGAUUGAAUGAGCCGAUGUCGGAUUAGCUAGUUGGCGGGGUAAAGGCCCACCAAGGCGACGAUCCGUAGCUGGUCUGAGAGGAUGAUCAGCCACACUGGAACUGAGACACGGUCCAGACUCCUACGGGAGGCAGCAGUGGGGAAUAUUGGACAAUGGGCGCAAGCCUGAUCCAGCCAUACCGCGUGGGUGAAGAAGGCCUUCGGGUUGUAAAGCCCUUUUGUUGGGAAAGAAAAGCGGCAGGUUAAUACCCCGCUGUUCUGACGGUACCCAAAGAAUAAGCACCGGCUAACUUCGUG